GGCAGCCAUGGCGAAUUUUCGGCAGGAUUUUACCCCAGUGAAAAAGGCUUGUAAUCCACAGUGAUCAGCUGAGAUGUUAUUUCACUGGAUUAUUUAAUGGAUAGACUUAUUGGGCAUAUAUUUGGAUAUCUCUGUCAUCAACAUAGAAGAUAUGUAUUGUUCCUAACCAUCUAUAAUCAAUUCUCUAUGAAGUUCAGACUGUCUGCUCUUCCUUUGGAAAUACACAGUUAGUCAACCAACAAAGAAACACACAAAACUUGAAGGAUUCUCUAGUGAGGGCUUAUGGAAAUGAUCUAUGUCUACUCUCAGAAUGGUGAAAGACUAUCAGAUUAUGCAAAGACUAAGAGAAUAUCCUCUCUUGGAACACUGAAACAAGAAAAUCAAACAGGAGAUGGAUGGAGGAUUUAAGAAGCACAUAGAUAAAUAUGAUUUCCAACGAAUUUAACCAGUAUUAUCAUAGACUGUGGUUUACAGGAUGACAAAGUAACAGGAUUGUAUCUUUUUACAGUCAGACACUGACUAUGGAUAAGAUGUACCCAUUUAUUAAACUGAGAUCUAGUCAAAUCAAGUACAAUUGUAUUGAAAAAAUGAUUUUCUGAUAGCAUGAACUCUUUAAAAAUUAAUUCUCACAGAUCUCAAAGUAUCUGAAUGUGACUUUUAUUUUUACCAAUUUCUAUUGAAGACUGUUGUUAUGUAUGAGAAGUAUACAUUUAAACCUUUUAUUUUUCAUCUUAUUUCUAUAACCCCCUAGAAAUUACACAGAUAUUCAGAUGCUGGAUUUAAUAUUAUUAUUUAACUUUCCUGGAAUGGUAAAUAUAUUUUGUUUGUGUAUGUAUCAUGUCCUAUUUUGAAUUUAAGAUAGGUCUCAAUAAGAUCCCCUAUAAAGAUGCAAGUGUCCCAUAAUCUGUGGUUUAAUAAUAUCUUGAAUAUCUUUAUCAUCCAUCAUACUAAUUACAUAUAGAAUGUUUGUAGGAAUACACUUUGUUGUUUAGGACACUUUGUCAAGGUCAAAGCAUGAGAUUAUUGAGAUGACUUCUUUGACAAUAAUUUGUAACUUACAAUCUUCACAUCAUAAGUACACAGAUGAAGAAUCAAUAAGAUAUUUCUAUAGAUUUUUUGGAUCAUUUACUCCCGGGUAAAAGUUAGUUACUAACUGAGAUUACUGAUUUGAAUCCUGUAAUGCAAUAACUUAGACAUUGUGUGAUAACUUAUAGACUUUAUAAAAAUUAGGUGCAAAUUCUUAGGAAAGGAUUGAAAUGUUAAUCAAAUGUACAAUGUUCAAGGGUGUUUAUAUGACUAUUACUAUGUAAUACCUUAGAAUUCUGUAAAAAAUUUAUUAUCACUGCGUAGAUAAAAAUGGUGCAUUACAGCAACUCUGGUGAUUUACAUACCUUCAGUCAUAAAUACAUGUAGAUAGGUAUUUGGACGACUCCUUUAGAUUUUGAAAUUUUUUAAUUCAAAAGUAUAGAGUUUAAGUUUGAAAGAUUUAAAAUGGCAGCAUAUCAUUUGCUUGUGAAUUUAAAAAAUAAAUCCAAACAUAUACAUCUUUGGAUGAUAAUUGUAGCAUUUUAUCAAUUCCUGGACUUCGGUCUUGAUAUCAUCCUUUCAUGUUCUUAAAAUUUUAAUGACUGUCUUUUAGUUUUAGUUGAAUUAGUUUCUUUUCUACAUGUGAAAAUUACAUCAUCCAAAGAAGUUCUUCAUCUGCAUGUUAUAUGAAGAAGACAAUUUUCAUCACAGUGAAAGAGAUUGUUUUGUUAAACAUAUUGCAUUGAUGCACAAAUAUACUUUUAGAUUUUUAAUAGCUAGGGUUCAUAUUUCUUAAUAUGGAAUGCUAAGUACUGUUGAUUUCAAUUUUUUGUGAACAAAGACAUACUAGUAGAAAAAAAUGUACAUGAUGUGUUAGAAAAGCAGGUGUAAACCUUAUGACUUUAUAAUUGCUGAUUAAAUCAAUUAUGAGUUUCAUCUUUGUUUCAAUGUAAACAUUUUCUAAGUAGGGCACACAUCAGAAACUCUUAAAAUUCUGAGUAUCAGGGUUUAACACAACAUUUCUAAAUGAUUUUUGGACGCUUUUUAUGUAUCAAUAAAAAAGACAAAACAGAAUGUUUGUUCACAGAUGUUCCAAUGGAAAACAACCACAAAGAAAUGAUUUGAUAUGUUCUCUAUGUGAUUCAUGUAAAAUGUAUUUUUAAAUUGUAUCCUAACAUUUAUCUUUUGCAUAAAUACAUUUUUUGUGGAGAAUUUCUCAUAACUUUGAAAAAAGUAGUCUUAUUGUAUAAUAUGGUUAACUUUAAAUUUUGUAGACUUAAAAGUUGUACAUGAUGUGUUACACAUCUUACAUAUGUAACCAUUUCAUUUCAAGGCAUUCAGCAUAUAUUGUGGUUUUGUCUUAAAUUUGUUUGUUCAUGUAAUCAAUAAUUUGAGAAUACUCAACUCAAAUUAGGUAAUGCAUGAGAGAAUAGGUAAGAAAAUCAGGUUUAAGAAAUGAUUUUUACUAUUUAUAAGGGGUUAGUCUAUAUAUUGAAUCUAUAAGUACAUUUAGUCUAUACACUUAAGGUGUUUGUUUAUGAAAUAAACUUGCAUUUGAGCAUUUUAAGACAAUUGUAAACAUUACUUUAACCAGUUUUAAAAAUGAUUAGAUUCACUGUUAGCAUGUAAUUCCUUGUAAAAUAAAUGAGAAAACAAACAA